rnacentral:rRNA from 1 species
AAACUUAAAAAUUAAAACUUUCAACAACGGAUCUCUUGGUUCUGGCAUCGAUGAAGAACGCAGCGAAAUGCGAUAAGUAGUGUGAAUUGCAGAAUUCAGUGAAUCAUCGAAUCUUUGAACGCACAUUGCGCCCUUUGGUAUUCCUUGGGGCAUGCCUGUUCGAGCGUCAUUUAAACCUUCAAGCUAAGCUUGGUGUUGGGUGACUGUCCCCUUCCCGGCGGACUACUCUCAUAAUUAUUGGCGGCCGGUACAUUGGCUUCUAGCGAACCAAAAACAUCUACUCCUGCCCACUCAAUUGGCUCCCAUAAGCUAUCUUCACAAUUUUGACCUCUGAUCACGUAGGGAUACCCGAUGAACUUAAACAUAUCAAUUAGCGGAGGAAAGAGGAA